rnacentral:rRNA from 1 species
UGUAGCAAUACAUCAGCGGCAGACGGGUGAGUAACGCGUGGGAACAUACCUUUUGGUUCGGAACAACCCAGGGAAACUUGGGCUAAUACCGGAUAAGCCCUUACGGGGAAAGAUUUAUCGCCGAAAGAUUGGCCCGCGUCUGAUUAGCUAGUUGGUGAGGUAAUGGCUCACCAAGGCGACGAUCAGUAGCUGGUCUGAGAGGAUGAUCAGCCACAUUGGGACUGAGACACGGCCCAAACUCCUACGGGAGGCAGCAGUGGGGAAUAUUGGACAAUGGGCGCAAGCCUGAUCCAGCCAUGCCGCGUGAGUGAUGAAGGCCCUAGGGUUGUAAAGCUCUUUUGUGCGGGAAGAUAAUGACGGUACCGCAAGAAUAAGCCCCGGCUAACUUCGUGCCAGCAGCCGCGGUAAUACGAAGGGGGCUAGCGUUGCUCGGAAUCACUGGGCGUAAAGGGUGCGUAGGCGGGUCUUUAAGUCAGGGGUGAAAUCCUGGAGCUCAACUCCAGAACUGCCUUUGAUACUGAAGAUCUUGAGUUCGGGAGAGGUGAGUGGAACUGCGAGUGUAGAGGUGAAAUUCGUAGAUAUUCGCAAGAACACCAGUGGCGAAGGCGGCUCACUGGCCCGAUACUGACGCUGAGC